GAAAAAAAAACAAGAGAGAAAGAGUAAAAGAGAGCGGCCGAGGGAGAUACAUGGGAGAAAUAAAGGAGACGACGAGGGAAAAUGAAAUCGUAGGGAGAAUUCGAAUGAGCAGAGGAGUUUAGUGAGUUAUGGAUGAGGGAGAGGAAAUAAAGGCAAGAAGUAAGGGAUAUUUAGAGUUUUUGACUUGAUGUGUUAGAUGCGAAGUCGAAAUCAGAAUGCAUAGUGAUGGAGCCCCACCCUUAAAGAAGGGACGCACGCUAGUAUAGGAUGCUUGUUUUAUACACAUGAGUGCACACACUGUACCAACCUUGAAAUUAUAGUUGUUGUAACAUCGAACUAUGCGAAUUGACUAUGUACUCUCUAAAUGUUUAAUGGA